AGACCAUGAUGAGGACAUAGUCUCAUCAUGUCCUUAUAUCGUUCCCACGCUUCGAAGAGUGAUUCUCCUUCGGUUUGUCUAAACAUAGUUAUGUGAUUUCAGCACUAU